rnacentral:rRNA from 1 species
UAGGGAAUCUUCGGCAAUGGACGAAAGUCUGACCGAGCAACGCCGCGUGAGUGAAGAAGGUUUUCGGAUCGUAAAACUCUUUUGUUAGAGAAGAACAAGGACGUUAGUAACUGAACGUCCCCUGACGGUAUCUAACCAGAAAGCCACGGCUAACUACGUUCCAGCAGUCGCGGUAAUACGUAGGUGGCAAGCGUUGUACGGAUUUAUUGGGCGUAAAGCGAGCGCAGGCGGUUUCUUAAGUCUGAUGUGAAAGCCCCCGGCUCAACCGGGGAGGGUCAUUGGAAACUGGGAGACUUGAGUGCAGAAGAGGAGAGUGGAAUUCCAUGUGUGGCGGUGAAGUGCGUAGAUAUAUGGAGGAACACCAGUGGCAAAGGCGACUCUCUGGUCUGUAACUGACGCUGAGGCUCGAAAGCGUGGGGAGCAAACAGG